rnacentral:misc_RNA from 1 species
GGAUGAGAACCUCCGGCGAGAGGUUGUGAGAUAUGGAGAGUUCGUGCAAGCAGCCUACCAUGCUUUCCAUUCGAAUCCUGCCAUGUCAUCAGAGGAAGCUCCUUUGCCCAGACAUAUAGCUUUGCCUGAUAGGUCAUAUAAGGUGACAAAGAGCCUUUACGCUACAUCCUCCAUCGGUUUGCCUAAAUGGGUAGACGACGUAGCACCGGAUCUCGGUUGGAUGAC